rnacentral:rRNA from 1 species
AUUGAACGCUGGCGGCAUGCUUUACACAUGCAAGUCGAACGGUAACAGGCCGCAAGGUGCUGACGAGUGGCGUACGGGUGAGUAAUGCAUCGGAACGUGCCCAGUCGCGGGGGAUAACUACUCGAAAGAGUAGCUAAUACCGCAUACGAUCUAUGGAUGAAAGCGGGGGACCGUAAGGCCUCGCGCGAUUGGAGCGGCCGAUGUCAGAUUAGGUAGUUGGUGGGGUAAAGGCUCACCAAGCCAACGAUCUGUAGCUGGUCUGAGAGGACGACCAGCCACACUGGGACUGAGACACGGCCCAGACUCCUGCGGGAGGCAGCAGUGGGGAAUUUUGGACAAUGGGCGCAAGCCUGAUCCAGCAAUGCCGCGUGCAGGAAGAAGGCCUUCGGGUUGUAAACUGCUUUUGUACGGAACGAAACGGCUCUGGUUAAUACCCGGGGCUAAUGACGGUACCGUAAGAAUAAGCACCGGCUAACUACGUG